GUAACUGCGAGUGAAGCGGGAAGAGCUCAAAUUUAAAAUCUGGCGGCUUUUUGGUCGUCCGAGUUGUAACCUGGAGAGGCAUUUUCCGCGUUGGACCGUGUACAAGUCUCCUGGAAUGGAGCGUCAUAGAGGGUGAGAAUCCCGUCCAUGACACGGACCGCCAAUGCUUUGUGAUAUGCCUUCGAAGAGUCGCGUUGUUUGGGAAUGCAGCGCAAAAUGGGUGGUAAAUUCCAUCUAAAGCUAAAUAUUGGCGAGAGACCGAUAGCGAACAAGUACCGUGAGGGAAAGAUGAAAAGCACUUUGGAAAGAGAGUUAAACAGUACGUGAAAUUGUUGAAAGGGAAACGCUUGAAGUCAGUCGCGUUCCGUGGAACUCAGCCUUACUUCGGUUUGGUGUACUUUCCAUGUGAACGGGUCAACGUCAAUUUUGGCCGGUGGAUAAAGGCAAAGGGAAUGUAGCGUUGCUUCGGUGACGUGUUAUAGCCCCUUGUUGUAUACACCGGCUGGGAUUGAGGACCGCAGCACGCCCUUGUGGCCGGGGGUUCGCCCCACGUACCGUGCUUAGGAUGUUGGCAUAAUGGCUUUAAGCGACCCGUCUUGAAACACGGACCAAGGAGUCUAACAUGCUUGCGAGUGUUCGGGUGGAAAACCCUUGCGCGUAAUGAAAGUGAAAGUUAGGAACCUUCUCGCAAGAGGGGGUGCACUGACGCCCGGCCCUGACGUUCUCUGACGGUGCUGCGGUAGAGCAAGUAUGUUGGGACCCGAAAGAUGGUGAACUAUGCCUGAAUAGGGCGAAGCCAGAGGAAACUCUGGUGGAGGCUCGUAGCGAUUCUGACGUGCAAAUCGAUCGUCAAAUUUGGGUAUAGGGG
rnacentral:rRNA from 1 species